rnacentral:rRNA from 1 species
AACGCUAGCUACAGGCUUAACACAUGCAAGUCGAGGGGCAUCAGUUUGGUUUGCUUGCAAACCAAAGCUGGCGACCGGCGCACGGGUGAGUAACACGUAUCCAACCUGCCUCAUACUCGGGGAUAGCCUUUCGAAAGAAAGAUUAAUAUCCGAUAGCAUAUAUUUCCCGCAUGGGUUUUAUAUUAAAGAAAUUCGGUAUGAGAUGGGGAUGCGUUCCAUUAGUUUGUUGGGGGGGUAACGGCCCACCAAGACUACGAUGGAUAGGGGUUCUGAGAGGAAGGUCCCCCACAUUGGAACUGGGACACGGUCCAAACUCCUACGGGAGGCAGCAGUGAGGAAUAUUGGUCAAUGGACGCGAGUCUGAACCAGCCAAGUAGCGUGAAGGAUGACUGCCCUAUGGGUUGUAAACUUCUUUUAUAUGGGAAUAAAGUUGUCCACGUGUGGAUUUUUGUAUGUACCAUAUGAAUAAGGAUCGGCUAACUCCGUGCCAGCAGCCGCGGUAAUACGGAGGAUCCGAGCGUUAUCCGGAUUUAUUGGGUUUAAAGGGAGCGUAGGCGGAUUGUUAAGUCAGUUGUGAAAGUUUGCGGCUCAACCGUAAAAUUGCAGUUGAUACUGGCAGUCUUGAGUGCAGUAGAGGUGGGCGGAAUUCGUGGUGUAGCGGUGAAAUGCUUAGAUAUCACGAAGAACUCCGAUUG